UACAGAGGUCUCAAGCGUUGUUCGGAUUCAUUGGGCGUAAAGGGUGCGUAGGCGGCGCGGUAAGUCGGGUGUGAGAUCUCGGGGCUUAACUCCGAAACUGCAUUCGAUACUGCCGUGCUUGAGGACUGGAGAGGAGACUGGAAUUUACGGUGUAGCGGUGAAAUGCGUAGAUAUCGUAAGGAAGACCAGUGGCGAAGGCGGGUCUCUGGACAGUUCCUGACGCUGAGGCACGAAGGUCAGGGGAGCAAACGGG
rnacentral:rRNA from 1 species